GAUGAACGCUGGCGGCGUGCUUAACACAUGCAAGUCGAACGGGAAUUACUUUAUUGACACUUCGGUCGAUUUAAUUUAAUUCUAGUGGCGGACGGGUGAGUAACGCGUGGGUAACCUGCCUUAUACAGGGGGAUAACAGUCAGAAAUGGCUGCUAAUACCGCAUAAGCGCACAGAGCUGCAUGGCUCGGUGUGAAAAACUCCGGUGGUAUAAGAUGGACCCGCGUUGGAUUAGCUUGUUGGUGGGGUAACGGCCCACCAAGGCGACGAUCCAUAGCCGGCCUGAGAGGGUGAACGGCCACAGUGGGACUGAGACACGGCCCAGACUCCUACGGGAGGCAGCAGUGGGGAAUAUUGCACAAUGGGGGAAACCCUGAUGCAGCGACGCCGCGUGAAGGAAGAAGUAUCUCGGUAUGUAAACUUCUAUCAGCAGGGAAGAUAGUGACGGUACCUGACUAAGAAGCCCCGGCUAACUACGUG
rnacentral:rRNA from 1 species